rnacentral:lncRNA from 1 species
CAGUCUUUUAUCUUUCUCCCUAUCCUAUAAGGACUCUCAUAAAACCUUUAUUUUUUUACUGUUGGGUUUACAGGCUGUGCAUUUGGAUCAGCUGCUAUUUGGCAAUACGAAUCACUGAAAUCCAGGGGUCCAGAGUUAUUUUGAUGGCAUAAAAGCUGAUUGGUUGGAUAGCAUAAGACCACAAAAAGAAGGAGACUUCAGAAAGGAGAUUAACAAGCGGUGGAAUAACCUAAGUGAUGGCCAGCGGACUCAGGUAUCAUAGCUGCAAACGUCCUUGUAUUCUGUUUGUGGAGAGUACCUUCUCUGCAGUGGACAGUGAUCUGAUAUUUCAAAUCUAAUCCAGCCUCAAAAGUCCGUUGUUCUCCAAUGUUGCUGUCAACAUUCAAUCAUUUCUCCUUAUUUCACAUGGCAGCAAAUAUGUAUGUUUUGUGGAGCUUCUCCUUCAGUAUAGUGAACAUUCUGGGUCAAGAGCAGUUCAUGGCAGUGUACCUAUCUGCAGGUGUUAUUUCCAAUUUUGUCAGUUAUGUGUGUAAAGUUGCCACACGAAGAUAUGGACCAUCACUUGGUGCAUCUCGCGCCAUCAUGAUGAUCCUCGCAGCUGUCCGCACUAAGAUCCCAGAAGGGAGGCUUGCCAUUAUUUACUUCCAAUGUUCACAUUCACAGCAGGAAAUGCCCUACAAUCCAUUAACGCCACGGAUAUGGCAGGAAUGAUCCUGGGACGGAAAUUUUUUGAUUAUGCAGCACAUCUUGGGGGAGCUCUCUUUGGAAUAUGGUAUGUUACUUACCCUCAUGAACUGAUUUGGAAGAACAGGGAGCCUCUAGUGAAAAUCUGGCAUGAAAUGAGGACUAAUGCCCCCCCAAACAAGAGGUGGCUCUAAGUAAAACUGGGAUUGCACAGUACCGGUGCACCUGUCUUGUCCUGCCGGAGAGCCCCAGGAGACAUCGGCCCUAGAGUGAUCAUGGCUACGUUCCCGCCUGGAAGACGCCAGCAUCUGGCCUCCCACUGUUUUCAGCUGUGUCCCCGGGUCCGUGUCUUUUCAGAAAGUGA